rnacentral:rRNA from 1 species
GACGAACGCUGGCGGCGUGCCUAAUACAUGCAAGUCGAACGCAGUGGGGACGGGUGAGUAACACGUGGGUAACCUCCCAUCAGAGGGGAUAACACUUGGAAACAGGUGCUAAACCGAUACUGAUGGAUGGACCCGCGGUGCAUUAGCUAGUGGGGGAGGUAACGGCUCACCAAGGCCACGAUGCAUAGCCGACUUGAGAGGUGGAUGGGCCACAUGGGGAUUGAGACACGGCCCAGACUCCUACGGGAGGCAGCAGUAGGGAAUUGUCGGCAAUGGACGAAAGUCUGACCGAGCAACGCCGCGUGAGUGAAGAAGGUUUUCGGAUCGUAAAACUCUGUUGUUAGAGAAGCGGUAUCUAACCAGAAAGCCACGGCUAACUACGUGCCAGCAGCCGCGGUAAUUC